UACGGGGGGGGCAAGCGUUGUUCGGAAUUACUGGGCGUAAAGGGCCAGUAGGCGGCCAACUAAGUCGGAUGUGAAAUCCCCAGGCUCAACUUGGGAACUGCGUCUGAUACUGGAUGGCUUGAAUUCGGGAGAGGGAUGCAGAAUUCCAGGUGUAGCGGUGAAAUGCGUAGAUAUUGGGAGGAACACCAGUGGCGAAGGCGGCCACCUGGACCGGUUCUGACGCUGAUGCGCGAAAGCGUGGGUAGCAAACAGG
rnacentral:rRNA from 1 species